rnacentral:pre_miRNA from 1 species
AUGGGGAAGAGGAAGUUAGAGAAGUUCUAAGGAUGAUGGGAUUGGGAACAUAUGAGAAAGCACGAGCUCUCUGAUUUGCCCCUGGCAUUGGAGAUGGAAAUUUCCUUGCGUUUUUUUCUCGAUGCCUCCCAUUCCUAUGAUUCUUAGGCUCUCCUUCCUCUUCCUUUUCCUC